UACAGAGGUCCCGAGCGUUGUUCGGAUUCAUUGGGCGUAAAGGGUGCGUAGGCGGUUAGGUAAGUUUGAUGUGAAAUCCUGGGCCCAACCCUGGAACUGCAUUGAAUACUGCUUGACUAGAGUACUGGAGAGGAAACUGGAAUUCACGGUGUAGCAGUGAAAUGCGUAGAGAUCGUGAGGAAGACCAGUGGCGAAGGCGAGUUUCUGGACAGUUACUGACGCUGAGGCACGAAGGCUAGGGGAGCAAACGGG
rnacentral:rRNA from 1 species